AGUCUUGUGUGAGUCAGAGUCAGACUCUCUGUGAGUUCAUGUGCCAACAAGAGCUAUUGCUGUUGGAUGAAUUGCUUUCAUAUAUUUUGCAGGUUCCCAGUCACUGGUCUUUCAGUCAUGCACACCUGGCUGCUCUCUGUGUGAGGGGUCACCACAGCAGACCAACUGGUCCACACAACAACUUGGCACAGGUUUUACACCGGAUGCCCUUCCUGACACAACCCUCCUAUUUUAUUCGGGCUUGGGACCAGCACUGCAUCCAGUGG